rnacentral:lncRNA from 1 species
GAGGAGACGCCUUAUCUAUAAGCUCCCCAGAGUCUUAGAGGCAUGCGGGGUGAUGCUUCUGAUGAUUUGUCAGUGAUUAAGACGUAAUAAAUCACUGAGCCUGUGUGUCUGAUCUCAGAUAACUUCAUACAAUGCAAAGCACAAAUAAGCAGUGCAUUAAGGGGAUUGGACAAGCUCUAGGGUUCACCUUAAUGUAAACAGCCACCAUUUAAAGCAACAAGAUGUCAAAGAAGUAUUACAAACCCUGAAUGGUAAAAUGCACAUGCUAUUUUAUUGAAUUAAAGGACUGCAAUGACAGCAGUUCCCCUUUGACAUGAGAUUUCUGUAUGUUGGUAUACUAGCUAACAACCAAGCUGGUGUGUAUGUUUAGAAAGAACUUAAUUUUUAACACAUGAUGAAUCAAGUAAAUAUGGUUUAGUACGCCCUUUUCCAUUUGAUAUCAAGUAUAGACUGAUACCUAAUAAGGUGCUUUUCCAUGCUAUAGAGGAUUUCUACACUCAAAAAAAUGCUGGGUUGUUUUUUCAACCCAACUACUAGGUUGAGCCUGUUGGUCAAUUUAUUUGGGUCAUUUUCAUGGAGUUGGGUAUUAUGAGUACCCAAUUCGCAAGGUUAUUUAUGUUGGGAACAGAGUUAUUAGCUGUUGGGUUGUAUUUUCUAUAUAGUUUUGUUGGUUUAUUGUGGAUCUCUCAACACAUUGGGUAGACGCUUGGGCAUUUUAAACCAAGCACCACUCACUCACCAGAUUGAUGCCACAACCACUAAAGCAAGGAGACGUACAAAGUAAGGUUUGUUACAUUCCCACUAUUGCUUGACCAUAAAGAUGACUUGAUAUUAUUAUGUAGACCCUCAAUUUGUUGUUAAGAUAUAAGUUUGUGAAGCACUGUUGUGUACGAGCUUCUGCUUUCAGGAAUUGAUUGGUAGGUGAGCAAGCUAAUGGUUAGCCAACAUUAGUAGCAUAAAGUACAUUGCCUUAAAACGUUGCAAGCUAACAUGUUAGCUGAUGUGGGGUGUGUUGUGGUCAGAAAUGUUGAACUACUGCUUUAAUGUACUCUGUCUUGAUGUUUCAGGUUGAUACAAACAAUUAAUGGAUGACUUUUUUGAUGUGGAGUGGAGUGGAGUGGAUGCAUGGAUGCAAGAUACAACCUACUGUUCUGUAUUGUUUUUUGUUUUUUUUUCUUUGAAAAGAUAAGAAAACCAAGAAAUCUGCCAAAUGUUUACAAACUCCAAAGUUCAUUCUCCGUCAGUACAAUGGAAAGAGUGCUGUUGAGGGGCGGCAGUAGCUCAGGAGGAAGAGCGGUUGUCCAAUAACCACAAGGUUGGCGGUUCAAAUACCCCUUAUUUCAAGUCUAUCCAUUGUGUCCUUGGGUAAGACACUUAACCCACCUUGCUCCCACUGUGUGUCCUCCAUUGGUGUAUGAUUGUUAGUGUUGUUUAGUGGUGGCUGGAGAGGCUGUAGGUGCAAAUUGGCCCCAGGGUAGCUGUGUCUACUAAGGUAGAUAACCAUCACCAGGGUGUGACUGUGUGAAUUAAUAAAUGAUGUAUCCAAGGUAAAGCGCUUUGAGGGUCUCUGAUAAAGUGCUAUAUGAAUUUAAUAUUAUACUAACGGUCAAAAUGCUGGGUUUAAAGAACCCAAUUGUUGGGUUCAGUAAACCGACCCAGUUAGAGCGGUAAAAUUAACCCAGCAUGUGUUCUGUCCAAUGUUCAACCAGUGCUGGGUUGGGAAACGACCCAAAUUGAGUUGUUUUUAACCUAAUGUUUUUAAGAGUGUGAGGUUUUUAUCCAUCUGUGAAGAAGAGUUUCCUUGUGCUGAACACAACAGGUGUCAUCCCUUUACAGAUCUACAGACGCUAAUUACACGCAAGUGUAAGAAGUAAGAAUGUGCCGUAAACCACAUCUUAUAAAGCCUUUCAGACGUGAACGAGGCUGCCUUCAAAAAAAGGUCUUGAUCAGAGGAUUGAUCUUGUAACUCUGCCUUCAGGGUGAAUAUUUCUCUCAUCAUUUAGUACACAGAGGAAGAGCUGUGUUGUGCCUGAGCAGAGCGUUUCCAGCCGGUUAAGUAAGUGACUGAUGUCUCACCCUGGAUACUCCUUUUUUUCUCUAUCAGCAUUCUCACUGAGGACACCACCCCACCCAGCAUCCUGUGCCAAGUGGGAAAGUGUUUCUUGGUAGGGGGUUUCCAUGGUGACUAGCCUCAACUUCUGAUGUUCACCCUGCACACACAGAUACAAGGAAACAGACACAUCCACAGACACAUAGGUGUGACUGUAAAGCACAGCAAGAGCAAUGACAAACAGCAUCGAUUUUCCCUCGCCGCCAAGACGAGGUUAAGAAAUUGCUCCAAUACGCUGCAAACAAUUACCACUCCAUUAAAGUGGAGAGAUAGUGUAGAGAACAACUUUACAGCCACUCAGAUCACACACACAGACACACACUCUGCUGGCCUCCUGCCAUGCUCUCUAUCACAUCUCCACACAAAAACACAAGUGUGGGAGGUGGGCACUGUGGGGGGGUUAUUGUAUUUAUUCUUAGGUGGUCACAUUGUGCAUAUAAAUUGAGCAGGCUAAAUAAUUAAUAGAUGGUACAAAGCAAGGGCAGUCCUCACACACUGGAGCAAGAAGCAGGGAAGGGGGGGAGGGGUGACAGAGCCAUUAACAUAUUACCCACUUUUUUUACAAAACAAAGAAAAGAUUAUUUCAUUAGAUUUGAGCCAAAUACCAACAUACAGGAUUAAAUUAAACAAAUUAAAGAUAUUAUCAUCAGUAUAUUUACUAUUAUUGGAAAAAGUGAAAAAAAAUCGCAGGUGAAAAGUGUGCUGCCACCGUUUGCCUCAGAUGAUGAAGGAGACAGUUUUUCUCCUCCUCUUCAGCAUCUUCAAUAAUUUCAAACAGAAUUCCCUCCUUUUCAUUCAGAGAGGGAUUAUGUCAUCGACUGAGAUCGGAGAAAGGAGAGGGGACCACAGACACAGACAGGCUUUUAUUCGUUAUACUCCUGCUGCCAUCUAGUGAUAUAAUGCGAGUAUUACAUGAUAGAAGUUUGUAGUGUGCAACACCACAUUGUACUGCUUUUCAGUACUCAGUCAGGGCUCCUUUUGCACAAAUGAGUGGCAUGGAGUCAAUCAGUCUGUGACUGCUGGGGUGUCAUUAGUUCAGGUCUCUGUGAUAGCUCCUUCAGCUGGUCUGUAUUAUUACUCUGGUGUCUCUCAUCUUUCUCUUCAUGAUAUCCCAGAGAUCUUCUACAGCAGUGGUUCUCAAGUCCAGUCCUUGAGGCCCACUGUCCGGCAUGUUUUAGAAUGUUUCCCUACUCCAACACACCUGAUUCAAAUGAUCAGCUCGUUAUUAAGCCAUUACAGAGCUUGAUAACGAGCUAAUCAUUUGAAUCAGGUGUGUUGGAGCAGGGAAACAUGUAGGACAGUGGGCCUCAAGGACUGGACUUGAGAACCACUGCUCUACAGGGUUCAGGCCAGACCAGUCGGCUGGAGAAUAAGCACAGCCAUACCAUGGUCAGCAAACCAGUUUUUUAAAUGAGAUAAUAAAGUCUGUUACUGAACAGUCUGUAUGUAGUGGUUUAAACCAGACCUGAACAGACCGGGCACCUGUACUACGAAGCUGGAUUAAUGUUAACACACCCAGGAUAACUCUGCCACAACUCGGUCAACUUCACCAGAUCUCCGUAAUCC